rnacentral:tRNA from 1 species
GGUGGCUCAGUGGUAGAGUACUUGCCUUGCAUGCAUGAGGGCCUGGGUUCCAUUCCUCAGCACCA